rnacentral:lncRNA from 1 species
CUUUUUUGAAAUCUGACAAAGCGAUUACAUUUAGGAAAAGUAUAUCUAUAAUUCUGUGCAUAACACUUCUAUAUUGAUCAAACAUUUUGAUGAGUAUUUCUGUAAUAUGUAUGCUCAUUGUGCAGAUUCACAGGAAGGUUUGGAGGGAAAACAUUUCUCAACAUUAAGCGCCAAUGUAAAAUGCUGUUUUUGGAUAUAAAUAUGAACUUUAUCGAGCAAAACAUACAUGUAUUUUGUAACAUAAUGUCCUAGGAGUGUCAUCUGAUGAAGAUCGUCAAAGCUCCAACUGAGAUUCAGGUUCCUCUGAACAAGACCACCACCAGGGGACGUGAGCGAAGAGAGAAGGUACAGUCAGACAGGAGAAAGGAGACCUGUGUUACGCUUCGUUGGAUAUCCGUCAGGGACAGAGGAGACCAAAGAGGAAGACAAAAGCCCAGAACUCUGACUUCAGUACCUACACAGCCAUCAAUACCCUCAGAGUGGGAGGUCUAUACCAUCCAUCAAUACCAGCAAAGUGAGACCUAUACCAUCGAUCAAUACCAGCAGAGUGAGACCUAUACCAGCCAUCAAUUACAGCAGAGUGAGACCUGUACCAGCCAUCAAUACCAGCAGAGUGUGAGACCUGUACCAGCCAUCAAUACCAGCAGAGUGAGACCUAUACCAUCCAUCCCAGCAGAGUGUGAGACAUUUACAUUUUAGUCAUUUAGCAGACGCUCUUAUCCAGAGCAACUUACAGUAGUGAAUGCAUACAUUUCAUAAAUUUUUUUCCAUACUGGUCCCCAUGGGAAUCGAACCCACAACCCUGGCGUUGCAAACACCAUGCCCUACCAACUGAGCCACACGGGACCUAUACCAUCCAUCAAUACCAGCAGAGUGUGAGACCUAUACCAUCCAUCAAUAGCAGUAUAGAGUGAGUUCUAUACCAACAUUGCUUGAGGACAAGGUGUGACAAGAAUAAUUUUGAUAUUUUCAAGAUUUACUUAAUUUUUUGAGGAAUAUUUUUGUACGUUUUAAACCCUUUCAUACAAAUGAUUUAUGAUUUAACUUUUGUCUGUAACCUUUUCAUAAUAAUAACAAUUGUGAUUUAGAUAAUGAUGUUAAGAUAAUGAUGUUAAGAUCAGGGAAUAAUGGUUAAAUUGCUCUUGUUAAAGUCUUAGUUUGUAAUUGUAGGUGUGAAACUUCAUUGUUUUCCAUUUGUAAG